rnacentral:rRNA from 1 species
GGAGCUAAUACCGGAUAAUAUAUUGAACCGCAUGGUUCAAUAGUGAAAGACGGUUUUGCUGUCACUUAUAGAUGGAUCCGCGCCGCAUUAGCUAGUUGGUAAGGUAACGGCUUACCAAGGCAACGAUGCGUAGCCGACCUGAGAGGGGUGAUCGGCCACACUGGAACUGAGACACGGUCCAG